rnacentral:rRNA from 1 species
ACGCUCGACACCUACGGGGGGCAGCAGUGGGGAAUAUUGGGCAAUGGGCGCAAGCCUGACCCAGCAACGCCGCGUGAAGGAAGAAGGCCCUCGGGUUGUAAACUUCUUUUAACAGGGACGAAGUAAGUGACGGUACCUGUUGAAUAAGCCACGGCUAACUACGUGCCAGCAGCCGCGGUAAUCUGAGCGGGCUGGCAAGGC